rnacentral:lncRNA from 1 species
UAAUCCAUCGUCAUAACCUCCAAGUGAAAACACGCUGACCUCGUUAAUGUUAGUUCAAUGCGAUAAACGUACCCUGAAGAUUUUGAAAGACAUCGGUACCAUGUACACUGGCUUAAUGUCAAUACUGUCCAGACAUGCAUCCUGAGAACAAACAAUGUAUGACAACCCAUAAAGCACAAAAACUGGGAAUAAGCUUUACAACGAAAGAUGAUUACUUCACACCUUGACUUCUUUGUCUCUAAACAAAUUCAACAGAGUUCCCAUCAGCAUCAAGUAUCCUUCCUCUUUCUCUUUGUACAGACAAAAAGCUUCAAUUUGGAUCCUAUCUUUCGUGCAGUUCCCAUC